UACGGGAGGGUGCGAGCGUUGUCCGGAAUCACUGGGCGUAAAGGGCGCGUAGGCGGCAGGUCAAGCGUGUGGUGAAAGCCCGGGGCUCAACCCCGGGUCGGCCAUGCGGACUGGCGUGCUUGAGCACUGUAGGGGCGGGUGGAAUUCCGGGUGUAGCGGUGGAAUGCGUAGAGAUCCGGAAGAACACCGGUGGCGAAGGCGGCCCGCUGGGUAGGAAGAUGGAGCAAUCCAUCGGCUGACGCUGAGGCGCGACAGCGUGGGGGAGCAAACAGG
rnacentral:rRNA from 1 species